ensembl:lncRNA
GUGAGAUGGGGCUUAGCCCUGAAGUUUUCAAGGGUUCCCCUUGCAUGUGGGUGAAACUGGGGUGCCCUCCGGCUGAGGAGGGGACCCCGUGCGUGCAUGUGAGAUGGGGCUUAGCCCUGAAGUUUUCAAGGGUUCCCCUUGCAUGUGGGUGGAACUGGGGUGCCCUCCGGCUGAGGAGAGGACCUCGUGCGUGCGGGUGAGAUGGGGCUUAGCCCUGAAGUUUUCAAGGGUUCCCCUUGCAUGCAGGUCAAACUGGGGUGCUCUCCGGCUGAGGAGAGGACCCCGUGCGUGCGGGUGAGAUGGGGCUUAGCCCUGAAGUUUUCAAGGGUUCCCCUUGUUUGCAAGUAGAACUGGGGUGCCCUCCGGCUGAGGAGAGGACCCCGUGCGUGGAGGUGAGAUGGGGCUUAGCCCUGAAGUUUUCAAGGGUUCCCCUUGCAUGCGGGUCAAACUGGGGUGCCCUCCAGCUGAGGAGGGGACCCCGUGCGUGGAGGUGAGAUGGGGCUUAGCCCUGAAGUUUUCAAGGGUUCCCCUUGCCUGUGGGUGAAACUGGGGUGCCCUCCGGCUGAGGAGAGGACCCCGUGCGUGGAGGUGAGAUGGGGCUUAGCCCUGAAGUUUUCAAGGGUUCCCCUUGUUUGCAAGUAGAACUGGGGUGCCCUCCAGCUGAGGAGAGGACCCCGUGCGUGGAGGUGAGAUGGGGCUUAGCCCUGAAGUUUUCAAGGGUUCCCCUUGCAUGUGGGUGAAACUGGGGUGCCCUCCGGCUGAGGAGGGGACCCCGUGCGUGCAUGUGAGAUGGGGCUUAGCCCUGAAGUUUUCAAGGGUUCCCCUUGCAUGUGGGUGAAACUGGGGUGCCCUCCGGCUGAGGAGGGGACCCCGUGCGUGGAGGUGAGAUGGGGCUUAGCCCUGAAGUUUUCAAGGGUUCCCCUUGUUUGCAAGUAGAACUGGGGUGCCCUCCGGCUGAGGAGAGGACCCCGUGCGUGGAGGUGAGAUGGGGCUUAGCCCUGAAGUUUUCAAGGGUUCCCCUUGCGUGCGGGUGGAACUGGGGUGCCCUCCGGCUGAGGAGGGGACCCCGUGCGUGGGGUAGAAGCCCCUGGUGAAGGGGUUUCUCCCCUGCGUGUGUGUGUGUGUGUGUACCUGUUUCUUGUUGCAAUUUCAGGUCCACUGUCUGCUCCAUAGCCAAGGUGGCCUUGCUGUUCUUUAGGGUCUGACCCUGCUCUCGUCUUCAUGCCCGUCUUCUGUCUGACGGCCAUGUGCAGGUUCAGCUGCCUCCAGCUCUUCUCCCCGACUUGCUUUCCCGUCCUGUGGAGGAAGGGCACGUCUCCGCAGCUGACAUCUCCCUUGGGCCUGCGCUUGCACCGAGCCGCUGCCAGAACGGGAACUGCAGGCGUCUGUUGAACAACAAAGCAAACGCCCAAGCAUUUCGGGUGUGAUGUCCCCAGCAUUCCAAGGAGAGAUUACGCAGCAGCAGCCCAAACGUCUGGAAUGGCUUCUUUCUAGGAGAGAAGCAAAGCCUUGGCGGAGCCAGAGCAGGAGCUUCUUUCCUGAAGGGAAGAGAACCUCCAGCCAUCGCUAUCCAUCUCCUCCCCCGCCAAAGGCCAAAGGCCAAAAGCCAAAGGCCAAAUCCCAAAUCCCAUAUCCCAAAUCCCCAAUCCCAAAUCCCAAAUCCCAAAUCCCCGCCUCCAUUGCUAACAUCAGAGCACAGCAAGCCGUACGUGUGCAGAAGCAUCCCAGAUUCCUAUGGCUCUGUAGCGGUGCGCUAAAGAGGGCCUCGGUCCUACAGCCUCACGGCAGGAACUUGGCAAACAAGGAGCUUCUCACGGGACUGCUCACUUGCAUCCACUGCCAUCGCAUCCACAGCCCGCAGCCCGCAGCCCGCAGCCGUCGGGUGAAGCCCUCAAGAGUACAACGGAGGUCGAGUGCUGAAAGCACGGGAGAGUUCCCGCAGCAACUGCUGCUAACAGCAGACGCUCCCAGCAACUCCAAGGAAGCCCUGAGAGCCCCGAGCCGUGCCCCAGGACCGCUUCCUCUCUCGAUUCACCGCCACCGCCACGGGAAAAGCAGACGGGAAAAGGGCACCGACGAAAGCUGCCGAUCGCGUUCACGACGGAGGCACUGCCGGCACUCGGGAGGACGGGAGAGCCCGGGGCUACUCGGCUCGAAGCGCUUCCCGCCCGCCCCGUUUCCCCACCUGGCAGCGCGG